CCGCACUGGGGGCGCUGCUGAGGCCGCGGUGAUGGCGGCGCUCCCGCCCCGUGAGGCACCGGACCCUCAGCUCUGGGGAUCCUGCCCAGGCUCCUUGUGGGCGCCGGUCCUUCCCCUUUCCCUGGGAAAAGGGAAUGUUCGUUCGCGCCACAGAUCAAACAGUGCUUCUUACUGGCUAAACUAAUUUGGUUUGUUUACACCAGCUUCCAAGUUCAAAAGUGAAACUUUAGAAGAAGACAGUUAACCAGUGGAACAGGUUGCCAGCAGUGUGGUGUGAAUUUUCCAUUACUCUCAGUCUAAAACAAGCAAGUUUCUCUAGAAAAAAUGCAGUGAGUGAGCAAAGUGGGAUACCAGAAGCUCAUGCAGCUGCACAACCCUGGGGAACACUUUAUAAAUUGGCUUCUGACCCCCAGCCAGCAAAGUGGGAAUUGCCCAGUGUUCUUGGGACCACUGACCCGCAGCUCCUGCCUGUGGCAUCAGGAGAGUGCCAAAAUUCCUACAGGGCCAAUGGCAAAGAACUGCAGAGAUGAAUUUCCACCUCUGGAAAAGCAAAAAACAGAGACCCAACACAACAGGCUCUGCCACGUACAAAGUCCACAGGGGUGGCCAGGCAGGUUUGGGUGUUUGCUGUUUGCUCCUGGGGAGCAGUUGUUUUCUCCACUGUGAUCCCUAAGUAAAGAUUGUUUGAGGUACUUUCAGCCAUACUAGAAAAUCAUUUCCCUAAAAUUUCAAAUUGGGAGGGGAAUAAAGUGACUCAGUAAGAGCUGCAGAACUCAGAACUUUCUUUUUUUUCCUUUUCCCCAAAGGGACCUCUACCCUUGUUUAUAUACUUUGAUUUUCUAUAACUGCUAGAACCACUUUGGCAGAAAGUUCAGUAUUUGAUAGUUUUUAUUUAGACGUUGACAUGUGUUUUUUAUAUUCUUAAGUUUAGGGAAAUGGUGAAUUCCUUCUUUUGGAUUUUUUCAAAUGUUUAAGUUGUAACUGUUGGAAUCUGCUGGGUAUUUAAAAUGGAUCUGAGAAAGGAAGUAAGGCAUUAGUUUUAUUGGGAAAAAAAGAAAAAAUAUUUCGAAAGUUUCUUUAAACCAAUGUUUUUCUGACAUAAUAUAGAAGAAUGUAUUUAUAUUGAUUAUAGUGUUUGAAACUGUCUAAUAUAAAUGGCAAUUCAGACAUAAUUGCUGCAGUGAAAUAUUUUGUAUUUAUUGUAUAAUAAACGUUUCAUAGAAAUAGCAUAAAAUAUUUAGAGAAAAUAAAAUAGGAUUAGAGGGAAUCUAUUGCAUGGCUAAAGGUUUUAUGUGGUGCUAAUAGUAUUUAAAAAAACAUUUUGUAUUAAAUAGACUGUACUGCAUUUGUAUUUGCCAUAGACUGUGAACAAAAUGGAUAUUUUUAAAGACAGACUUUUAUCAUUGUCUGAGGAAACCUUUAGCUAGCACCAAAUUCAUAUUCCCUCUUGCAGUUAAUCAGAGUCUUAAUUAAACAAAGCUGAGCUGAAUAGGGAAGUCAGCGAGAUAAUUUUAGACCCCUAAUCCGUGGAUAUAAAAUCCUUAAUCCACGGAUAUAAAAUCAUUUUCUAAAAUUGGGAGUGAGCGUGUUAACAUGCUUUACAUGGAGGGAAACUGAGGCAGAGCAAGGCUGCACCUUGCUCGGGGCUGUGCUGAGGAAGGGAAG